GACGAACGCUGGCGGCGUGCUUAACACAUGCAAGUCGAACGGAAAGGCCUUUUCGGAGGUACUCGAGUGGCGAACGGGUGAGUAACACGUGGGUGAUCUGCCCUGCACUCUGGGAUAAGCCUGGGAAACUGGGUCUAAUACCGGAUAGGACCGCACUUUAGUGUGUGUGGUGGAAAGUUUUUUCGGUGUAGGAUGAGCCCGCGGCCUAUCAGCUUGUUGGUGGGGUAAUGGCCUACCAAGGCGGCGACGGGUAGCCGGACUGAGAGGUUGGUCGGCCACAUUGGGACUGAGAUACGGCCCAGACGCCUACGGGAGGCAGCAGUGGGGAAGAUUGCACAAUGGGCGCAAGCCUGAUGCAGCGACGCCGCGUGGGGGAUGACGGCCUUCGGGUUGGAAACUCCUUUCGCCAGGGACGAAGCGUUUUGUGACGGUACCUGGAGAAGAAGCACCGGCUAACUACGUG
rnacentral:rRNA from 1 species